GAUGAACGCUAGCGACAGGCUUAACACAUGCAAGUCGAGGGGCAGCAUAAAAGUAGCAAUACUUUGGUGGCGACCGGCGCACGGGUGAGUAACGCGUAUGCAACCUACCUAUCAGAGGGGAAUAACCCGGCGAAAGUCGGACUAAUACCGCAUAAAACAGGGGCACCGCAUGGUGAUAUUUGUUAAAGAAAUUCGCUGAUAGAUGGGCAUGCGUUCCAUUAGGUAGUUGGUGAGGUAACGGCUCAACAAGCCGACGAUGGAUAGGGGAACUGAGAGGUUGGUCCCCCACACGUGUACUGAGACACGGACCAGACUCCUACGGGAGGCAGCAGUGAGGAAUAUUGGUCAAUGGGCGAGAGCCUGAACCAGCCAGGUCGCGUGAAGGAAGAAGGAUCUAUGGUUCGUAAACUUCUUUUGCAGGGGAAUAAAGUGCGGGACGUGUCCUGUUUUGUAUGUACCUGAGAAUAAGGAUCGGCUAACUCCGUGCCAGCCGCCGCAGUAA
rnacentral:rRNA from 1 species